GACAGAGGGUGCAAACGUUGCUCGGAAUCACUGGGCGUAAAGGGUGCGUAGGCGGGUCUUUAAGUCAGGGGUGAAAUCCUGGAGCUCAACUCCAGAACUGCCUUUGAUACUGAAGAUCUUGAGUUCGGGAGAGGUGAGUGGAACUGCGAGUGUAGAGGUGAAAUUCGUAGAUAUUCGCAAGAACACCAGUGGCGAAGGCGGCUCACUGGCCCGAUACUGACGCUGAGGCACGAAAGCGUGGGGAGCAAACAGGG
rnacentral:rRNA from 1 species